UUUUUUUGGAAGUAUCUAUGGAUUGUACCCUUUAAUGAGAGGGGAAGAAAAGCGGGCAAUUAUCGCUUUUGCCCGUGGAUCUCCAAAACGACUGGUAUGUUACAAUAAAUUUUGAAAUUUAGAGGAUGUAGAAAGCGGAACACCACUGCGGCCAUUUUGCCCCACUCGAAGAAUCCUUAGAAAACCGUCUAUUAUAUCUAUUAAGAGUAACUAUUCCGCCAUCAUCAACUAGUUAAAGAAUUUUCAAAAUCAUUCUGAUAAUUCAGCCAAAAAUAAGUCAGAAGCAGCGGGUUAUCUGGAAUCUUUUUGUAAGUUUUACACAUUUUUCAAAUUGGAAAUUUUGCGCAUGAUCUUCACGAUAAUUGACGAUGCAGCACUGCAAGACAUGCAGCUUAAUUUUUGCAAAACAAGAAAUACCAUCAACACGCUUAAGUAAGUGUUAAAAGAAGCCCGGGGUCAUAAAUUCUUAUGGGAUGCAGCCCUUGUAGCAGCAGAAUGUACUUAACUUGACAAAUCAGAGAUGCCACGGAAACGUAAAAUUACAUAAAAAUUUACCGAAGUGGAGUUCCAUUUUUUGCUACGACUCUAGAGGACUAAUACCAUCAGCUUUUCUAUGCAUCUCUGGAUUGUGUUACAACGGGAUUUGCGACCCGUUUCUAACUGAGACCAAUGAGCAUUUAGCAAAUGUAGAAAAAAAAUAUUCAACUUAAUGAUUUUGAAUCUGUUUUGAA